rnacentral:rRNA from 1 species
GGAGGGCGCAAGCGUUGUUCGGAAUCAUUGGGCGUAAAGCGAGUGUAGGCGGCUUGGCAAGUCGGAUGUGAAAUCCCAGGGCCCAACCCUGGAACUGCAUUCGAAACGGCCUCGCUAGAGUCCCGGAGAGGAUGGCGGAAUUCCCGGUGUAGAGGUGAAAUUCGUAGAUAUCGGGAGGAACACCAGUGGCGAAGGCGGCCAUCUGGACGGUGACUGACGCUGAGACUCGAAAGCGUGGGUAGCGAACAGGGAUUAGAUACCCUGGUAGUCCACGCCGUAAACUUUGGGUGCUCGUCGUCGCGGGUAUUGACCCCCUGCGGUGACCAAGCUAACGCGAGAAGCACCCCGCCUGGGGAGUACGGUCGCAAGGCUA